ensembl:lncRNA
AUGCAUGUCCUCAGGAUGAAUAGCAAUUACGCCGCUAAAAACAAGAUCACCACACCUGUACAAGAAAAGACAAGCAAGCCCAAAACAUCUGUUUGCAUCCACCUGCCAAGCACCUGUUCCGCUGUUUCAAUGCCAUUUGAUUGCUGGAGAUGUAGAGGCUCUUGUGAGGCAGGUCGUCACACAGGGAACUGUAUGCAGAAUCCAUCAGCUCCUCAUCAUGAACUCAGUUGUUCUUUGAGACCAUCUCCCAGAGAUGAGGAAGAUGUGUUAAUCCAAACGAAGAGACGCAGCCAAGCUUGGAGCAUCCUCUCUGCUGCUUCCCAAGGUUAUUUUUCAACAUCCACGAGCAAACGGGGACGGCGACUGCAAAUUUCAACACACGGCCGUUGCUAUUUAAUUAAAAUCACUGAAGCUGGCUGA